rnacentral:rRNA from 1 species
UACGUAGGGUGCGAGCGUUAAUCGGAAUUACUGGGCGUAAAGCGUGCGCAGGCGGUUGUGUAAGACAGGUGUGAAAUCCCCGGGCUUAACCUGGGAACGGCGCUUGUGACUGCACGGCUAGAGUACGGCAGAGGGGGGUGGAAUUCCACGUGUAGCAGUGAAAUGCGUAGAUAUGUGGAGGAACACCGAUGGCGAAGGCAGCCCCCUGGGCCGAUACUGACGCUCAUGCACGAAAGCGUGGGGAGCAAACAGG